rnacentral:rRNA from 1 species
AGUGAUAGGUAUACUUUAGGAGGGGCUUGCGCCAUAUUAGUUAGUUGGUAGGGUAAUGGCCUACCAAGACGAUGAUGUGUAGCUGGACUGAGAGGUUGAACAGCCACAUUGGGACUGAGACACGGCCCAAACUCCUACGGGAGGCAGCAGUAGGGAAUUUUCGGCAAUGGAGGAAACUCUGACCGAGCAACGCCGCGUGAACGACGAAGUACUUUGGUAUGUAAAGUUCUUUUAUCAAGGAAGAAAAGCAAGUGGUGAACCAUUUGUUUGCCGGUACUUGAUGAAUAAGCCCCGGCUAAUUAUGUGCCAGCAGCCGCGGUAAGACAUAAGGGGCAAGUGUUAUCCGGAAUUAUUGGGCGUAAAGGGUGCGUAGGCGGUCUAGUAAGUCAGUGGUGUAAUGGCAACGCUCAACGUUGUCCGGCUAUUGAAACUGCUAAACUUGAGUUAGAUAGAGGCGAGUGGAAUUCCAUGUGUAGCGGUAAAAUGCGUAAAUAUAUGGAGGAACACCAGAGGCGUAGGCGGCUCGCUGGGUCUUAACUGACGCUGAGGCACGAAAGCGUGGGGAGCAAACAGGAUUAGAUACCCUGGUAGUCCACGCCGUAAACGAUGAGUACUAAGUGUCGGGUUAAACCGGUACUGAAGUUAACACAUUAAGUACUCCGCCUGAGUAGUACGUACGCAAGUAUGAAACUUAAAGGAAUUGACGGGACUCCGCACAAGCGGUGGAUCAUGUUGUUUAAUUCGAAGAUACCCGAAAAACCUUACCAGGUCUUGACAUGUUUUUGCGAAACGGUAGUAAUAUCGUGGAGGUUAUCAGAAACACAGGUGGUGCAUGGUUGUCGUCAGCUCGUGUCGUGAGAUGUUAGGUUAAGUCCUAAAACGAGCGAAACCCUUAUCGUUAGUUGCCAGCACGUUAUGGUGGGGACUUUAACGAGACUGCCAGUGAUAAAUUGGAGGAAGGUGAGGAUCACGUCAAAUCAGCAUGCCCCUUAUGACCUGGGCUACAAACGUGAUACAAUGGCUGUUACAAAGGGUAGCUGAAACGCAAGUUCUUGGCCAAUCCCCAAAAACAGUCUCAGUCCGGAUUGAAGUCUGCAACUCGACUUCAUGAAGUGGAAUCGCUAGU